CCGGGCAGCUCCGCCUCCCGCUGCGCUGGGCCCGCCGCCGCUCCUCCUUCUCCUCCUCCCCUCGGCCCGGACGCGCGGAGGUCGCGCCGAGCCGGGCGCGCAGGGCCUGGUGUCAGGCUCCGCUCCGCCAUGCUGGCCGGUUGCCGGCGGGCGCUGCCGGCGGCGCUGUGCCGGGGGCUGCGGAGCCGAGCGGCGGGGUCGGGCCGCCGGGCCGUCAGCACCAGCUGGUGCCCGGUGGGCGCCGCUUUCGAUGCGAAGCAGCAGCCGCAGCAGCUGCGGGGCAGGGCGGCGGGCAGGGAGACGGUGAGCGGCGGGACGGGAAGGGCCUGCUGCGGGCGGGAGGCGGCCCUGGCCGCCGGCAGCCUUGGCUUGGCUUUGCUUGGUCUGUUUGGUGUUCCGGAACUGAGCUGUCCAGAAGGAUUUCAAGAAGCACAGGACAAAGCAUUGCAAGAAUCAGAACAGCUAGUCCAGAAGGCAUGUUCAACGCCACCUGGGCCCGAGACAGUGAUGAUCUUUGAUCAGCUUUCAGAUGCCUUGUGCAGAGUGGCAGACUUGGCUGAUUUUGUGAAAAUCGCCCACCCUGACUUUGCAUUCAGAGAGGCUGCUGAAGAAGCUUGCAGGAACAUUGGUACCAUGGUAGAAAAAUUAAAUACAGAUGUUGAGCUAUGUCAGAGUUUGCGACGUCUGCUAGCUGAUGAAGUUGUUAUGAGUUCCCUAGAUCCGGAAACUAGGCGAGUGGCAGAACUUUUUAUGUUUGAUUUUGAGAUCAGUGGCAUUCAUUUGGAUGAAGAAAAGCGUAAAAAAGCAGUCAACCUCAACGUCAGGAUAUUGGAUUUAUGUAAUGAAUUUCUGACAGGAGCUCACCUUCCCAACAAGAUUGACAAACAUGUUUUACCAGAGCAUAUCCGGUAUAAUUUUACAGCUAAAGGCAAUUACUUACAAGUUGCUGGUCUGCAUGCUGAUUGUCCUGAUGAUCUGGUGCGAGAAGCUGCUUACAAGAUUUUUCUUUACCCAAAUGCUGAGCAGCUGACCCGUUUGGAAGAUUUGCUUGCUAGCCGAAACAGUCUGGCACAGUUGGUUGGGUAUGACACCUUUGCCCACAGGGCUCUUCAGGGAACAAUGGCCAAAAAUCCAGAGACAGUAACACAGUUUCUGGAGCGGCUUUCCGAUCAGUUGUCUAAAAGAACUCAAAAAGAUUUUGAAAUGAUGACAAAGAUGAAAAUGAAGCUCAACCCCCAGAAUUCAAAGCUGAUGCCGUGGGAUCACCCUUACUACAGUGGUGUCCUUCGUGCUGAGAGGUACAACAUUGAUCCUGGCUUGUACUGUCCAUUUUUCUCUCUUGGGGCAUGCAUGGAAGGUUUGAACUCUUUGUUCAGUCAGCUCCUAGGAAUCUCUCUUUAUGCUGAACAGACACAGAAAGGAGAGGUUUGGUCUGAAGAUGUUCGAAAAUUGGCCGUUGUUCAUGAAACCGAAGGUUUGCUAGGAUACAUCUAUUGUGACUUCUUUCAGAGACCUGAUAAACCACAUCAGGAUUGUCACUUCACAGUUCGUGGAGGCAGGCUAAGGGAAAAUGGAGAGUACCAGCUGCCUGUGGUUGUUCUGAUGCUUAGUCUGCCCCAUUCAACAAGGGGCGCACCGACGCUACUGACUCCUGGCAUGAUGGAGAAUCUCUUUCAUGAAAUGGGACAUGCUAUGCAUUCUAUGCUGGGACGAACUCGGUACCAACAUGUCACUGGAACCAGAUGUGCUACUGAUUUUGCUGAAGUUCCCUCAAUUCUGAUGGAGUACUUUGCAAAUGACUACCGAGUGGUUAACCAGUUCGCAAGGCAUUAUAAAACGGGACAGCCACUGCCAAAAAACAUGGUGUCAAGACUAUGUGAGUCCAAGAAGGUGUGUGCUGCAGCUGAUAUGCAACUCCAGGUAUUUUAUGCUGCCUUGGACCAAAUCUACCAUGGGAAACAUCCUUUAAAAAAGUCAACCACAGAAAUUUUGAAGGAAACACAGGAGAAAGUUUAUGGACUGCCAUAUGUACCUAAUACAGCCUGGCAGCUGCGAUUCAGUCAUCUUGUGGGCUACGGUGCCAAAUAUUACUCCUACCUCAUGUCUAGGGCUGUUGCCUCCAUGGUGUGGAAACAGUGUUUUGCUCAGGACCCAUUUGAUAGGGCAAUGGGUGAGCGUUACCGUAGAGAGAUGCUGGCACACGGCGGUGGAAAAGAGCCCAUACUUAUGGUACAAGUGCAGAUACUUCAUCAGUGAGUCCUCAGGACCAACAGUGAGUAAUGAAGAAGUGAGAGCUCUGCAGCCGGGGGGUUUGAAGAAGAGAGCGAACUGUUUUUAAGGAAUAGUUGUGCAUACUGCAGGACAGCGAACUUGGCAUUAAUGGUAUGCUUCAGAAAUCACCUUCAGUGGAAGAUUUUGUGGAUGCCCUUGUUUCAGACUUAGACCAGGACUUUGAAACAUUUUUCAUGGACUCCUAAAAAUGUUCUUCAGAAUGGAAGUAUUUUAUGGAACGUUGCAUACAUUUUCAUAAUUGUGGGUACCAUAUUGUUGUGACUGGUUUUGCUUCUUGGUGAAUACUUGUAAAAGUUUGAAUAUUCAUGUUGGUGGAACAGUAAUAAAUAAUUUCAUUGAA